rnacentral:misc_RNA from 1 species
AACAAAGCGAACUGCUUGCUUCCCAAGUUCCAAGGAUUUUACUCUACCGUCAUCCAGAGUAACAGACAACGUUGAAGUGCCUUCAACCAUGUCGGAGACCGCUCCCUUAUGCCUGGAUUAGGAAGUCAUCAUCAACAGCCAAAAAGAGAAAUAAGCCCAAAUCAUAACCAAAUCUUCCAGUCAUAUCAUGACAUGAAGGGUUCUAAAACUCAUUACCAUCUCACUAUAACAGCAAAUACAUUUUCCAUCAAGUGGGAGAAAAGGACAUGUAAGCACACAAGCAGAAUCAUUGGGCAAAGAACACACAAGUCAAGGUGAAGCAGUUACAUGUUAGACUUCUAUGCAUACCCAUUAAGACGUUGAGAAAAACACUAUCUUAAAAAUGCUUAUUAGAGACCUUCAAAUUUUGAUUUUAAUUUAAAUUUAAUUUAUUUUAAUUAUAAUUUUAAAAAGAAAAGAAUAAGCGUCAAAACUAAUUGUAUUAACGUUUUCAAAUGGCUAACUGUUUAAUCAUUUUAAGGUUGUGAAAUAUUAGUUUAAUCAUUAUUUUUCAUCAUUUAAUUAUGUUGG